GGAGGAAUACCCAAGAGGCUGAAGGGGUCGGUUUCGAAAACCGAUAGGAGUGAAAGCUCGCGUGGGUUCAAAUCCUACUUCCUCCGCCA
rnacentral:tRNA from 1 species